rnacentral:rRNA from 1 species
UGAUAACAUAAGGGAAAAUAAUGAUAUUACCUUAUUAUUAGUGUUGUCCAAAACUGGUGCCAGAAGACUCGGUAAAGCCAGAGACACAAACGUUAAUCGUCUUAAUCAGGCGUAAAGGGUUUGUAGGCAGCUUUAAAAUUUAAUUAUUAAAAUUAAAUUAAAUAAAUAUUUAUUUUUUAAUUAAUAAUUUAAUAAUUUAAUAAUUAAAAAAUAAAAGCUAGAAUCAAAAAGAGGAUAUAUUAAAUAAUGCUUAGAGUAGGUCUGAUAUCCUUAGAUACUAAGUAGAAUAUUAAAGGCGAAAGCUUUUUUCCAUUAAUGAUUGACGCUCAGAAACGAAGGUGAGGAUAGGAAAUAGGAUUAGAGACCCAGAAUACCCCUCUCUGUCAACGAUGAAUGGUAAUUAUUAGUAUAAAUUUUUAUUAAUGAUAAUGUUAACACGAUAACCAUUCCGCCUUGUGAGUACAACUGCAAAGUUGAAAACAAAAAAAUUAGUCGGUUUCGGAGCAAACGAAGUGAAGCAUGUUAUUUAA